ACGCCUUCGUUCAGUUCACCCAGCGGACGGACAAUCACCGCCCUCCUCCCUUAGCCGUCACAGCUCCGUCGUGCUCAGCCGCUUCAGUUGAGCUCUCCGCCUUCGCAGCGAAGCUCCGUCCCUCGAGUCCGUUGCCUUUGAUCAUCCUCCUUCGCGUCCCUAUCUAGCUUGGCGUUUGGCUGUAACUGGCAUAUAUGCAGGAAGAAGAGCCUGCGGAAGUAGUAUUAGGAACAAUGAAGGAAGGAAUUAAAGACGGGGAAGAAGGAAGAUGAAGGAAGACUGGAAGAGUAGUGGAAGAAGGAGGAGAAGAAGAAGACGAGGAGGAGGAGGCGUGGCCAUCGGAUUCAGAAAUCGAGACCGCGUCGGAAUGGUUGGACUUGAAAGACGCCGGAGAAGCAGGGGACGGAGCCUUCGCUCCCAAUUCCCGACGCCCGAACGCUCAUGGGAGGGCUUCACACGCGUGCCCAGUCGUCCAUGCUCCAACCCCUGUCCAAUCGGAGCCAAAAACUCUCCACUCGUAUCCGCACUUCCCCUUUGGAGGAGAUGAAGUGAAGGGUGAAGCAUGAAUGUUGGCAUUUUCAACACAGUGACAGCUUAAAUUUGAGAAAGUGUGUGGGGAUAUGGCAAUUGGUAAAAUUAAAAGUAAUGAGAAGGCUGACUGUGCAACUUUCAAGCAACUAAAGUACAUUUUUGGGAAAAAGAUUGAUAAGUUGAAUGCUAACUGUCUGGUAAAAUAUUUCCACUUAAAGUCUCCAUGCUGCAAUUGUAACAACUGCCACAAUAAGGUCUCUUUAUACUAAAAGUAAUCUGCUGCUUGAUCAUCUCAAGACAUUAUGUCCCCUGUAGAUAUAUGUCCAUUUUGAAGAUCUAUUAGAAUUUUCGUCAAUUUC